UGGGGAAUUUUGGACAAGGGGCGCAAGCCGGAUCCAGCCAUGCCGCGUGAGUGAAGAAGGCCUUGGGGUUGUAAAGCUCUUUCAGCCGGGAAGAAAACGCAUGGGUUAAUACCCUGGGUGGAUGAAGGUACCGGAAUAAGAAGCAGCGGCUAACUACGGGGCAGCAGCCGCGGUAAUAAGUAGGGGGCGAGCGGUAAUCGGAAUUACUGGGCGUAAAGCGUGCGCAGGCGGUUUGUUAAGAUAGGCGUGAAAUCCCCGGGGUCAAACUGGGGACUGCGUUUAUAACUGGCAAGCUAGAGUAUGGCAGAGGGGAGUGGAAUUCCACGUGUAGCAGUGGAAUGGGUAGGAAUGUGGGGAAAAACCGAUGGCGAAGGCAGCCCCCUGGGCCAAUACUGACGCUCAUGCACGAAAGCGUGGGUAGCAAACAGG
rnacentral:rRNA from 1 species